rnacentral:rRNA from 1 species
UGACUCAACGCGGGAAAUCUUACCGGGUCCGGACACACUGAGGAUUGACAGACAAAUACACACACUACGGCGUGUGCAUGAAAUAUGCUAGUUCUUUCAUGAUGAUGUGAUAGGUGGUGCAUGGCCGUUCUUAUUUCGUGGAGUGAUCUGCCGGCUGCAUUGCGUUUCACUAAAGGCACAUACACAUAAUAUUGUUGAGGUGUGUGGAUUAUUUUUUAUUAUUCGCCUACACACAUCUUAUUUUGUGGUUUGAAAGCAACGAACAACACCGCAACCUCCUGUUGCCGGCAGAUAUGUGGUUUUUAUACACACCACAGGCUGUUAUAAACUACAGGGACCGCCGUUGCUUUUUUUUAAACCACAAGAAGGUUGCGGCAAUAACAGGUCUGUGGUGCCCCUAUAUGUUCCGCGGGGCACCCCUGCUACAAUGAUCAUUGCUGCGCGCCUCUCAUUUUGUUAUACACCGCUGGUGGGGAUGGGGCACCAUACACAUAUAUUUGUGUGUAGGUAUUGCAUGCAGCAAACCCAACUCCGAAAGUUGAGGGUGGGGAAUAAAAAGUAAAAAUUUCUCUUUUUACAAAAUAUACACUCACAUUCAUUAUCUUAUGUCCAUGACCCUGAAAAAUAUUUUAUUUUUGUGUGUGCAUUCGACGCUCGUAUGUGCAAUUGUCAAUUCAUGGUGGGGACAGACCAUUGUUAAUUGUUGGUCUCGGUCUUAACUAGGAAUGCCUUGUACGGGUCUUUGGUUCAACAAACCACCCGGAAUACGUCCCUGCCCUUUGUACACACCGCCCGUCGCUCUUACCGAUGGACUUCUCUGUGAGUUUGAGGGACUGGAUUUUAUAUCUAUGAAACUCAAACAA